GACGAACGCUGGCGGCGUGCUUAACACAUGCAAGUCGAGCGAGGCCCCUCCUUCGGGAGGGUGUCCUAGCGGCGAACGGGUGAGUAACACGCGGGCAACCUGCCCUCAGCUCUGGGAUAACUCCGGGAAACCGGGGCUAAUACCGGAUACGACCUCCACGGGCAUCUGCGGAGGUGGAAAGUUUUUCGGCUGAGGAUGGGCCCACGGCCUAUCAGCUAGUUGGUGGGGUAGUGGCCCACCAAGGCGACGACGGGUAGCCGGCCUGAGAGGGCGACCGGCCACACUGGGACUGAGACACGGCCCAGACUCCUACGGGAGGCAGCAGUGGGGAAUAUUGCGCAAUGGGCGAAAGCCUGACGCAGCGACGCCGCGUGAGGGACGAAGGCCUUCGGGUUGUAAACCUCUUUCAGCAGGGACGAAGCGAAAGUGACGGUACCUGCAGAAGAAGCACCGGCCAACUACGUG
rnacentral:rRNA from 1 species